rnacentral:rRNA from 1 species
UACGUAGGGUGCGAGCGUUGUCCGGAAUUAUUGGGCGUAAAGAGCUUGUAGGCGGUUUGUCGCGUCUGCCGUGAAAGCCCAGGGCUUAACCCUGGGUCUGCGGUGGGUACGGGCAGACUAGAGUGGUGGUAGGGGAGACUGGAAUUCCUGGUGUAGCGGUGAAAUGCGCAGAUAUCAGGAGGAACACCGAUGGCGAAGGCAGGUCUCUGGGCCACUACUGACGCUGAGAAGCGAAAGCAUGGGGAGCAAACAGG